rnacentral:rRNA from 1 species
UACGUAGGCAGCGAGCGUUGUUCGGAAUUACUGGGCGUAAAGGGUGUGUAGGCGGUGUUCCCAGUCUGUUGUGAAAUCUCCCGGCUUAACUGGGAGGGUGCAGCGGAAACUAGAAUGCUAGAGGGUGGGAGAGGUAAGCGGAAUUCCUGGUGUAGCGGUGAAAUGCGUAGAUAUCAGGAGGAACACCUGUGGUGUAGACAGCUUACUGGACCACUUCUGACGCUGAGACACGAAAGCGUGGGUAGCAAACAGG